UAGGGAAUAUUGGACAAUGGGUGAGAGCCUGAUCCAGCCAUGCCGCGUGCGGGAAGAAGGCCUUCGGGUUGUAAACCGCUUUUGUCAGGGAAGAAACGCUCUGGGCUAAUACCCUGGGGUAAUGACGGUACCUGAAGAAUAAGCACCGGCUAACUACGUGCCAGCAGCCGCGGUAAUACGUAGGGUGCAAGCGUUAAUCGGAAUUACUGGGCGUAAAGCGUGCGCAGGCGGUUAUGCAAGACAGAUGUGAAAUCCCCGGGCUCAACCUGGGAACUGCAUUUGUGACUGUAUAGCUAGAGUACGGUAGAGGGGGAUGAAAUUCCGCGUGUAGCAGUGAAAUGCGUAGAUAUGCGGAGGAACACCGAUGGCGAAGGCAAUCCCCUGGACCUGUACUGACGCUCAUGCACGAAAGCGUGGGGAGCAAACAGGAUUAGAUACCCCCGUAGUCCCUGAGCGGGCUGGCAAGGCGCAU
rnacentral:rRNA from 1 species